CAUAUACUCCCUCCGUCCGAAAAUACUUGUCAUCAAAAUGGACAAAAAGGGAUGUAUCUAGAACUAAAAUACAUCUAGAUACAUCCCCUUUUAUUCAUUUUGAUGACAAGUAUUUCUGGACGGAGGGAGUAGAUA
rnacentral:pre_miRNA from 1 species